rnacentral:autocatalytically_spliced_intron from 2 species
AACCGCCCGGUGCGGACCCGCAUGCCGGGUGGUGUGGGAGGGGCGGAGCCAAUAGGCUCCCCCCUAUCCCGAUUGGAGCGGCAAAAAAUACUCCUAUCUCAAU